GGGAGAUUUUCAUUACUUUCAAGGAUGGAAGUGAAACCUUUUCACUGAAGAGAGGCUUUAUAGCAGUGUGGAGGUUAUUCCCCAUGCACGUUCCAUCUAGUUCCUUUUCAACUGUUAUGUCAGCAGUUGUAGGGCUGAAAAUGAAUUCCUUCAAUUCCGGGCAAUGUUUUAUGUACAAUUUGUUCAAGGAUGGAAAUACAGCAGAAUUUCCCCAACAGAAUCUUGUGACAUGAGGAAGAUCUUUUAGGCUCAAGAAUUCAAGUUGAGGGAAUGACAACGUCCCCAUCCAUGCCUCCCCCGAUGUAACAAAUAUGUCUUUGAUAGCAUUGCAUUUGUGAACCUCAAAACGUUUGAGUUUGAUAAGACUUACUGAAGCA
rnacentral:misc_RNA from 1 species